rnacentral:lncRNA from 1 species
CUCCCACAAGCACCUGUUCCAGCAGUUCCCAUGAAAUCAGUCCACUGCUUACUCAACUUUACCUAACACAGCAAGAAAGAGGGGAAAAAGGCCAACAGCAGAAAGAUUAAAAAGUUGAUUGGAAUAACAAUUUUUAAAGCUCUAGACUUGGUCCCUUUAUUCACCUUAUUAUUCACCUUAUAUUCACCAAUGACUCCAGCAAGCUGACAGGUAGUAAGUGUGUGAAGUGCAAGUGCACAGGAGCACUCCAGGUAAAUCUAUGAUCCAUCAUCCCAAGGCUUUCCUUACCUGACCUUGCAUUUUUGUAAGCUCACUGCCAUGUAGAUAACUACAGACACCAACAUAUGCUGGAACAAGAGCUCUAGAGUGAAGAAGAAUUGUGUGUACUGUGCCAGGGAGAUUACGGCAACACCACAGGCAUGAAAAUAUAAAAGCCACCGUGACUUGAAAAAUAUUUCAAUGAGGAGUUACCAAGACCGGAAUUUCUUGUAAAAACAGUCAAUUACUACAAAUGGACAUUUCCAAGAAUAAAUACUUUGUUGAAGUAUUCUUGACCAGCUUUACUAAGAUUCUGAGAUGCUAUACUGGUAACUCCUUCUCAUCUCUGCUACAAGUGAGGUUGGACCUCACUUUCUUCACAUAAAAAAAAAGGGCAAUUGAACAAGAGUAUGAUGAGAUGUAUUAAACCAUGUAUUAUCUGAAUAUAGCAUGUGGGGUAAAUUCAUCAUUAUAUCUCAGAAAGCCAGAACUAGAAAGCAACCAAUGGCAGACCAAGGUUUGCACGAAGAGAAACUGCAUCUUUGAUCAAAACAACAUGAAUAGUUGGUAAAAUUGUCAUGUUUAUAUCUAUGGUCUAUCUAUUAUAAAGAUAAUGAACAACUACAUAUAACAGUGAAAUUAGCUGGCAACUAAUUAAAAACAAGCAAGCAAAAAAACCUUGAAAAUAAAAG